GGCGGAGCGGAACGGGACGGGGCAGGGGGAGCAGGGGGCUCUCCUUUGCCGGGGUCUGCCGGCGCUCCAGCCCUGACUCCAGGCGCCUGCAGACAAUUUGCUCCCGGCCAUUAGCAGCUGCUGGGUGGCAUCGAAGCUACAAUGGAUCAGAAUGGAGCAAAUGGCACAGCAAGAAUUUCUACAGCAGCACUGCAUGAGGCACAUUUAGCAAGGAAACUCAGAGAAGAGGUUGUGCUGUGCCAGCAUGUGGAUGACCAUGCUUAUUGCCAAGACCACUAAGACAUCUGACACAGACCAGCAGCAGUUCAUCAAUUGUUGAAACUAUUAAUCAAUACCUAUAUCAAAACCAAGACUCUGGAACAUGCUGGACAUGCUACAGUGGCAAGGAAAAGAGUUGCUACUUCUUCAUCCAAACUGCAGGUGUCAACCUGGCACAAAAGUCAGACAGCUGACACGAGGAAGGAGAAUGGAACAAGAGAAAGCAUGACUGUCUUUUUUUGCUUAGAACAUUUAAUGCAGCAAUGAGGGCCUUUUCAGCACUGAAUAGAAAGCAGGUCUUUGGGAAGUG
rnacentral:lncRNA from 1 species